rnacentral:rRNA from 1 species
AAUAGAUACCCGGGUAGUCCACGCCGUAAACGAUGAGUGCUAAGUGUUAGAGGGUUUCCGCCCUUUAGUGCUGCAGCUAACGCAUUAAGCACUCCGCCUGGGGAGUACGGUCGCAAGACUGAAACUCAAAGGAAUUGACGGGGGCCCGCACAAGCGGUGGAGCAUGUGGUUUAAUUCGAAGCAACGCGAAGAACCUUACCAGGUCUUGACAUCCCACUGACCGGUAUAGAGAUAUACCUUUCCCUUCGGGGACAGUGGUGACAGGUGGUGCAUGGUUGUCGUCAGCUCGUGUCGUGAGAUGUUGGGUUAAGUCCCGCAACGAGCGCAACCCUUGAUCUUAGUUGCCAGCAUUUAGUUGGGCACUCUAAGGUGACUGCCGGUGACAAACCGGGAGGAAGGUGGGGAUGGACGUCAAAUCAUCAUGCCCCUUAUGACCUGGGCUACACACGUGCUACAAUGGAUGGUACAAAGGGCUGCAAGACUGCGAAGUCAAGCCAAUCCCAUAAAACCAUUCUCAGUUCGGAUUGCAGG